UGCCAGCCGCCGCGGUAAUACGGAGGGUGCAAGCGUUAUCCGGAAUCACUGGGUUUAAAGGGUGCGUAGGCGGUUAAAUAAGUCAGAAGUGAAAGCCCACCGCUUAACGGUGGAACUGCUUUUGAUACUGUAUAACUUGAAUUAGGUUGAGGUUAGCGGAAUGUGGCAUGUAGCGGUGAAAUGCAUAGAUAUGCCAUAGAACACCAAUUGCGAAGGCAGCUGGCUAGACCUUAAUUGACGCUGAGGCACGAAAGCGUGGGGAGCGAACAGGAUUAGAUA
rnacentral:rRNA from 1 species